WARUCGGGASAAAAGAAACUAACAAGGAUUCCCCUAGUAACUGCGAGUGAAGCGGGAAAAGCUCAAAUUUAAAAUCUGAGGGUCUUUAUGGCCUUYCGAGUUGUAAUCUAGAGAAGUGCUAUCCGCGCUGGACCGUGUACAAGUCUCCUGGAACGGAGCGUCAUAGAGGGUGAGAAUCCCGUCUUUGACACGGACUACCAGGGCUUAUGUGAUGCGCUCUCAAAGAGUCGAGUUGUUUGGGAAUGCAGCUCUAAAUGGGUGGUAAAUUCCAUCUAAAGCUAAAUAUUGGCGAGAGACCGAUAGCGAACAAGUACCGUGAGGGAAAGAUGAAAAGAACUUUGGAAAGAGAGUUAAACAGUACGUGAAAUUGUUGAAAGGGAAACGCUUGAAGUCAGUCGCAUUGGCCAGGGAUCAACCUUGCUUUUGCUUGGUGUAUUUUCUGGUUAAUGGGUCAGCAUCAAUUUUGAUCGGUGGAAAAAGAUCAAGGGAAUGUGGCAUCUUCGGAUGUGUUAUAGCCUUUGGUUGUAUACAUCGGUUGGGAUUGAGGAACUCAGCACGCCGCAAGGCCGGGUUUUUAACCACGUACGUGCUUAGGAUGCUGGCAUAAUGGCUUUAAUCGACCCGUCUUGAAACACGGACCAAGGAGUCUAACAUGCACGCGAGUGUUUGGGUGGAAAACCCGAGCGCGUAAUGAAAGUGAAAAUUGAGAUCCCUGUCGUGGGGAGCAUCGAUGCCCGGACCAGACCUUUUGUGACGGAUCCGCGGUUGAGCGUGUAUGCUGGGACCCGAAAGAUGGUGAACUAUGCCUGAAUAGGGUGAAGCCAGAGGAAACUCUGGUGGAGGCCGUAGCGAUUCUGACGUGCAAAUCGAUCGUCAAAUUUGGGUAUAGGGGCGAAAGACUAAUCGAA
rnacentral:rRNA from 1 species